rnacentral:rRNA from 1 species
GCCGAAAGUCUAGCCACAACUCACUACACAAACCACAGAUAAUACAUAAAAUAAAACAUUUUCCACUUUUUAGUAAAGGCGAUCGAAAAACUACUAAGAGCCAUAGAUGAAGUACCGUAAGGGAAAAAUGAAAUAGAAAUGAAACAACUUUAAAGCAAUAUAAAGCAGAGCCCAACACUCGUACCUUUUGCAUCAUGGUCUAGCCAGUCCAAUCAAGCAAAACGAAUUUAAGUUUGACCCCCCGAAACCAGGCGAGCUACCCCGAGGCAGCCAAAUGGGCCAACCCAUCUCUGUGACAAAAGAGUGGGAAGACCUCCAGGUAGAAGUGACAAGCCUAUCGAGCCUGGUGAUAGCUGGUUGCUUGAGAAAAGGAUUUAAGUCCUACCUUAACUAGAACACCCAACAACAAGGCAAAACUAAAUUUAAGAGCUAUUCAAACAGGGCACAGCCUGUCUGAAACAGGAUACAACCUAAUACCCCGGGUAAUGAUCUUCCUCCCCGGUGACAAAGUAGGCCUAAAAGCAGCCACCUUCUAAAUAGCUGUCAAAGCUUCACCACCUAACCCCAAUAAUCCCACAACAACCUCAAAACCCUCACCCACUAUCAAGCCAUUCUAUAUAAAUAUAGAACACCUUAUGCUAGAACUAGUAACAAGAAGAUGAACUUCUCCACAAUGCAUGUAUAAAUCAGACUGGACCCCCCCCCCUGAUAAUUAACGCCAGAUCUAGAGGCAAUAACAACACAAGAAAACCUUGCCCCCCCACCCGUUAACCUAACACAAGAGCACUUCUGGAAAGAUCUAAAGGAGAGGAAGGAACUCGGCAAAUUUUGACCCCGCCUGUUUACCAAAAACAUCGCCUCUUGAAUAUAUAAGAGGUCCAGCCUGCCCAGUGACUUUGUUCAACGGCCGCGGUAUUCUGACCGUGCGAAGGUAGCGUAAUCACUUGUUCUCUAAAUAAGGACUAGUAUGAACGGCACCACGAGGGCCACACUGUCUCCCUCCCCCUAUCAGUGAAACUGAUCCCCCCGUGAAGAAGCGGGGAUCUAGAUAUAAGACGAGAAGACCCCUUGGAGCUUCAAACGACAUGGCACCUGCUUAACAAACCCACCCCACGGAACUACCAUUCUAAGCAAGCACACAUGACCACUAGUUUUUGGUUGGGGCGACCCCGGAGAAUAACAAAACCUCCGAGAUGUAUAGGGCACCCGCCCUAAGCCGAAAGCCACUGCUUUAAGCAUCAACCCUUUGACACCCCUUGACCCAAUUUAAUUGAUCAACGAACCAAGUUACCCCGGGGAUAACAGCGCAAUCCAUUUUCAGAGCCCCUAUCGACAAAUGGGUUUACGACCUCGAUGUUGGAUCAGGGUACCCCAGUGGUGAAGCCGCUACUAAAGGUUCGUUUGUUCAACGAUUAAAACCCU